GUGGAUCCUGAAAGACAUAGGAAACCAAGAGGAAGGAGUAAAAUGUUUCUCCUAUACCAGUCAAUCAACAGAAGGAGUCAAACUUCAAUGUCUUGGUGUGCAGGUCAAGGCUCUAACCACCAGGCUCUCCAGAAUGGGAGAGAUGUUGGACUCAAUUUCCUUUCCUUUGAAAUGAUUUCAACCAAAUACAUUGCUCGUAAAGAGAAAUCACAAUACAAGUCUGCAAGAAAACAUCUUCUAAACACCUCCAGACACAACCUCAGCAGGGCUGACGUCUUCUCAGAACAGCUUCUCCUGCUCCUCAUUCCAGAUCAAUCUCUUCCUUUUCCUGUGGGUCACCACACUCACCGACACACCUGAGGAAUUCAAAGGUGGGAAGAUGGGCCCUGAGGAACAGAGGUAGCUGAGGUCAAGAGCUCAUAGCAGUCUAGAGCAGUUCAGCCAUCAGUAAAAUAAAGCACUCCUUACCACUGAAUCUGAAAGUCCUCCCG